rnacentral:rRNA from 1 species
AGAGGUUGGACUGGCUCAGAUUGAACGCUGGCGGCAGGCCUAACACAUGCAAGUCGAGCGGAAACGACACUAAYRAUYCUUCGGGUGAGUUAAUGGGCGUCGAGCGGCGGACGGGUGAGUAAUGCCUAGGAAAUUGCCUUGAUGUGGGGGAUAACCAUUGGAAACGAUGGCUAAUACCGCAUAAUGCCUACGGGCCAAAGAGGGGGAUCUUCGGACCUCUCGCGUCAAGAUAUGCCUAGGUGGGAUUAGCUAGUUGGUGAGGUAAUGGCUCACCAAGGCGACGAUCCCUAGCUGGUCUGAGAGGAUGAUCAGCCACACUGGAACUGAGACACGGUCCAGACUCCUACGGGAGGCAGCAGUGGGGAAUAUUGCACAAUGGGCGAAAGCCUGAUGCAGCCAUGCCGCGUGUAUGAAGAAGGCCUUCGGGUUGUAAAGUACUUUCAGUUGUGAGGAAGGGGGUAACGUUAAUAGCGUUAUCUCUUGACGUUAGCAACAGAAGAAGCACCGGCUAACUCCGUGCCAGC